ensembl:lncRNA
ACACGGAAUCCAUCAAUCAUGCCUCCUGAGGUUCCUCCCACGGGCUCGUGGCUGUUGAUUUCUCUCCCUUCUCCUCUCCUUAGUGGGGGGGGGGCAUUGAUUCCCUGUCGAUUUCCCCACAAUGUAGGGAGCUGAAAAAAAACAUGUGCAAGGAAUUUGUGGAAAAUCCCAAACUACACCAUAUAACUUUGGACAAGGACGUACACCUGACUAGGCAACCUGGUCUCAGGGGACUAUGCAGACUCUUUUACGUAAAUCUUUGACAGCCACAUUCAUGAGAAAUAUUACGUUAGGUAAAGUAACGUUAGUGUAAUAUUCCAGAAAUAAUCAAUAAUCCAUAAGCUUACCUUUUUCGUUUUCUUAUCUUACCCCAAACCUUACCCUAACCUUAACCCCAGUGCUGUGAUAUCUAACCCUAACCUUAACCCCAGUGCUGUGAUACCUAACAUACAUAUCAUAUUAUAUGUUGUAAUAGCGUUUGUAAGAUAUGUUACGUUUUUUAUAAUAAUGUAUUAUACGUUUUGGUAGUGCAUUGUAACGUAACGUAUAUAAAAUCUUGUGCCAUGGAUUUACGAUGGUUCCUGUGUCAGAAUUACCGUGUGAAUCGAUGACAGAAGACGUCUGCAAGACUGCUCAAAAAUGGGAAAGAAAUGGAGGUAGCGAGAUAGUAUCCCCUAGUAUCCCUUAGCUGGCAACUCCAACCAUGUCCAGGAGGGACUGGUUUUUGGAAUGAUGUGAAAGAGGAUUUCAAAAGCAAGAGAUUCACGAAGUAUCCUUGUUGCAUGUUUCUAAGGGCAAAGCUAAGUUGAAUGGCAGUUCAUGGCUGAAUAACGGCAGUUAUGUGAGGCAGUGCAUCUGGUUUCUGCUGCCAUCUGAAAUACUGUGCUGCACUUACAAGACUGGGAUCCGAGGAAGCAUAUCAGUGUGGGUUCCAGAUUCCUCUUCAGUAGACCUCCAUUGGUUUCCCUGCUUUUAGAUAGAUUAAACGCUGAUUAGGUAAAUGUGUGCUUCCCCUGUAAAUCCAUGAGUGUUAUGUACUCUCACCGUACGAGUACACAUAGCUGUAUAUAUCCGUAGUGUUGACUUUGUGUAUUCUGUGUCUACGGUCAAGUCAACUUAUGAAUAUACCAACCUGGUCUCAGAAGGAUUAUGCAGACUAUUUUACGUACAUUUUAGCCAGGGGAUUUCAUAAGAUAUAUUACGUUCAGUAAAAGCUGGAAUGGAGGAAAAAAAACUGAAAGCUGCAUUUCGAACCAGCGACCUUACGCAUCCCAGAUAGGUACACUAUCCACUGCUCCAGCGAGGAACCUGUAACUUGAAAUGCGAGUGGUGGUGUCACAACAUAAAUAUGUUUGAAGUGAUUUUCUUUGUAACCCUAACCCAAACCAUAACCCUAACCUUAACCCCAGUGCUGUGAUGCCUAACCUUAACCCAAACCCUUACCUGAACCCCAGAGCUGUGAGACCAAACCCUAACCAAACCUUAACCUAACCUUUUUUGUUUUCAAACCGUAGCCCAAACCUUAACCCUAACCUUAAAACAAGUGCUGUGAUAUCUAACCUACAUUUUUUUUAUUAUUUAUACGUUUUCAUAGCGUUCGUAAAUAUCAAACGUUUGUCUGGCAUUCGUAUGUUAUUUUACGUUUUAAUAGCGCUCGUAACAUUUGAUACGUUGUAAUACCGUUUGUAAGAUAUGUUACGUUUUAAUAAUUUCGUUAUAUAUCAUACGUUUUGGUGGCGCAUUGUAAUGUAACCUAACGUAACGUCACAUAUCAUACGAGAUCGGGUGCCAUGGAUUUACGUAAAAUAGUCUACGUAGUGUCCUGAGACCAGGUUGCAACAUGCACAUCCUGAUUAACACUUUGAUCACUUGGCCAGUCGCGUCAGUCACAUGAUUUCUGCUUUCUUUGCUUGAUUUUCAUUUAACUUAACAGACCUCCCACCUGAAAGUACCUUUGUCUUCUAGACUUUAAGCUUUUACAUCUUGUUUGUGUAAGAAAACUGACCAAUCACAGUUUACUGGUUUUGUGUGUGACCUAAAUGUGUGACCUAAAUGCAGUUUAAUGGUUGUUUAUCUGUGGCACCUUGAAUCCUGUUCUCUCAACAUUCUGCUGACUUGCCACUUGAGAAAUAAACAAUGAAGAAAUACAUAUAGCCCACCCAUAUCAAUGUUGCCAAAAUGUACUCAGUCUCGG